rnacentral:rRNA from 1 species
GGCGUGCCUAAUACAUGCAAGUAGAACGCACAGGAUGCACCGUAGUUUACUACACCGUAUUCUGUGAGUUGCGAACGGGUGAGUAACGCGUAGGUAACCUGCCUGGUAGCGGGGGAUAACUAUUGGAAACGAUAGCUAAUACCGCAUAAGAACAUUUACUGCAUGGUAGAUGUUUAAAAGGUGCAAGAGCAUCACUACCAGAUGGACCUGCGUUGUAUUAGCUAGUUGGUGAGGUAACGGCUCACCAAGGCAACGAUACAUAGCCGACCUGAGAGGGUGAUCGGCCACACUGGGACUGAGACACGGCCCAGACUCCUACGGGAGGCAGCAGUAGGGAAUCUUCGGCAAUGGGGGGAACCCUGACCGAGCAACGCCGCGUGAGUGAAGAAGGUUUUCGGAUCGUAAAGCUCUGUUGUUAAGGAAGAACGUGUGUGAGAGUGGAAAGUUCACACAGUGACG